UACAGAGGUCUCGAGCGUUAGGCGGAAUCACUGGGCUUAAAGCGUGUGUAGGUGGAUCGUUAAGUACCUUGUGAAAUCCCACGGCUUAACCGUGGAACUGCUUGGUAUACUGGGCGGUCUUGAGCCACUUAGGGGCUACCGGAACAAAAUGGUGGAGUGGUGAAAUGCGUAGAUAUCAAUUUGGAACGCCAAUGGGUGAAAACAACUCGCUGGGGGGUGUGC
rnacentral:rRNA from 1 species